rnacentral:rRNA from 1 species
AGUGAACGCUGGCGGUAGGCCUAACACAUGCAAGUCGAACGGCAGCACAGUAAGAGCUUGCUCUUACGGGUGGCGAGUGGCGGACGGGUGAGGAAUACAUCGGAAUCUACUUUUCGUGGGGGAGAACGUAAGGAAAAUUACGCUAAUACCGCAUACGACCUAAGGGUGAAAGCAAGGGAACUUCGGACCUUGCGCGAUUGAAUGAGCCGAUGUCGGAUUAGCUAGUUGGCGGGGUAAAGGCCCACCAAGGCGACGAUCCGUAGCUGGUCUGAGAGGAUGAUCAGCCACACUGGAACUGAGACACGGUCCAGACUCCUACGGGAGGCAGCAGUGGGGAAUAUUGGACAAUGGGCGCAAGCCUGAUCCAGCCAUACCGCGUGGGUGAAGAAGGCCUUCGGGUUGUAAAGCCCUUUUGUUGGGAAAGAAAAGCAGCAGGUUAAUACCCCGCUGUUCUGACGGUACCCAAAGAAUAAGCACCGGCUAACUUCGUG